rnacentral:tRNA from 1 species
AAUGCUAUUACUUCAAGAGGUUUUAGGUUGUUACCCUAGAAGGUUUCUUGAUAAGG